rnacentral:lncRNA from 1 species
GUCACUUACCAGGGUUUUUUUUUUUUUUUUUUUAGAGAUAGGUAGCACGCUACCCGUUUCGUUUAUUUCAUUUAGAAAUAAAAUUACUUAAAAAUAUGAAUCAACUAGAAUUCGAACUUGGAUCUCGAAUACCAACCACCAAGUUCUUUGCCACUUGCUCUAGGGACGGUUGGGGUCACUUACCAGGGUUGAGCUUCCAUGUUGACGGUCCA